CAAUCCAAACUAACCCGCGGCUCCCAACUAUAUAUAUAUAGAAGAUUUUCUUAUGCAUGAACAUUCAUUAACUCUCCUCGCCUGUCAUUCCUUUUCUUCUUCAUUUGUAGCUCAAACUCGCUUAGAUCGAUUUUCCAUGACCCCAUUUCAUGAUCACUGUGAUCAGAUCAAGCUCUGCUCUUCAUUAAUGCAGUUUGUUCUUGUUUCAAGCUGGACGUUUCCCCCGGGUGAUCAUCCAGUCCAUUUGAUAGUGAUUGGCAUCAAGAACACCUCUGGAUUUCUUCUUUUGGACUGUUGAGGUUUUUUGUUCUACUAAUUUGUUGGUGUUGUGUCUUUCCAGAAAACUCAUAUACAGGUAUGCCUUUGUUUCUAUUUUUUGUCUCUCUAUCAUAAUCUAUUGAAAUAUAUUUAGAGAGUUGCUGAUAUUGCAACUAGUUACAGUGAUCUUGAAGCUAUAUUCCACUCACCAUUGCCAAGAGCAUAGACCCUAUUACUGCCUAGCAUCUUUUCUUGAAUAUGGGAGCAAUUACUUUAGUUGAAAGUGAUAAAGUGCACUUAGGCUCGACUUGAUGUUUAUGCUGCAGAAAUAUGUACUGAUCAUUUUUUUGUUUGUUGUAUACUAAAUGUACUGAACAUAUGAUUCAUGUAAGAGUUCCAUUUGACUUGUAAGGAAUGGACAGUUGUUAGUUGAAA